rnacentral:rRNA from 1 species
CUAGUUGGUAAGGUAACGGCUUACCAAGGCGACGAUCAGUAGCCGACCUGAGAGGGUGAUCGGCCACAUUGGAACUGAGACACGGUCCAAACUCCUACGGGAGGCAGCAGUGGGGAAUAUUGCACAAUGGGCGAAAGCCUGAUGCAGCAACGCCGCGUGAGUGAUGAAGGCCUUCGGGUCGUAAAGCUCUGUCCUCAAGGAAGAUAAUGACGGUACUUGAGGAGGAAGCCCCGGCUAACUACGUGCCAGCAGCCGCGGUAAUACGUAGGGGGCUAGCGUUAUCCGGAUUUACUGGGCGUAAAGGGUGCGUAGGCGGUCUUUCAAGUCAGGAGUGAAAGGCUACGGCUCAACCGUAGUAAGCCCUUGAAACUGGGAGACUUGAGUGCAGGAGAGGAGAGUGGAAUUCCUAGUGUAGCGGUGAAAUUGCUUA